rnacentral:rRNA from 1 species
UGGGGGAUUUUGGACAAUGGGCGCAAGCCUGAUCCAGCAAUGCCGCGUGCAGGAUGAAGGCCUUCGGGUUGUAAACUGCUUUUGUACGGAACGAAACGGCGAGCUCUAAUACAGUUUGCUAAUGACGGUACCGUAAGAAUAAGCACCGGCUAACUACGUUCCAGCAGCCGCGGUAAUACGUAGGGUGCAAGCGUUAAUCGGAAUUACUGGGCGUAAAGCGUGCGCAGGCGGUUAUGUAAGACAGAUGUGAAAUCCCCGGGCUUAACCUGGGAACUGCAUUUGUGACUGCAUAGCUAGAGUACGGUAGAGGGGGAUGGAAUUCCGCGUGUAGCAGUGAAAUGCGUAGAUAUGCGGAGGAACACCGAUGGCGAAGGCAAUCCCCUGGACCUGUACUGACGCUCAUGCACGAAAGCGUGGGGAGCAAACA